UUCCCUAUGGCCCAAUGGUCAAGGCGUCUGACUACGGUGCGAUCACUAAAAGUGAUUGGAAAUCAGAAGAUUCCAGGUUCGACUCCUGGUGGGGAAG
rnacentral:tRNA from 1 species